rnacentral:rRNA from 1 species
AGAAUCAACGCUGGCGGCGUGCCUAACACAUGCAAGUCGAACGAGAAAGUGGAGCAAUCCAUGAGUAAAGUGGCGCACGGGUGAGUAACACGUGACUAACCUACCCUUGAGUGGGGAAUAACCUAGGGAAACCUGGGCUAAUACCGCAUAACACCUACGGGUCAAAGGAGCAAUUCGCUUAAGGAGGGGUCGCGGCAGAUUAGCUAGUUGGCGGGGUAAUGGCCCACCAAGGCAGUGAUCUGUAUCCGGCCUGAGAGGGCGCACGGACACACUGGAACUGAAACACGGUCCAGACUCCUACGGGAGGCAGCAGUGGGGAAUUUUGCGCAAUGGGGGAAACCCUGACGCAGCAACGCCGCGUGGAGGAUGAAGUCCCUUGGGACGUAAACUCCUUUCGACCGGGAAGAUUAUGACGGUACCGGAAGAAGAAGCCCGGCUAACUUCGCGCCAGCAGCCGC